GACGAACGCUGGCGGCGUGCUUAACACAUGCAAGUCGAACGGAAAGGCCCUGCUUGCCGGGUACUCGAGUGGCGAACGGGUGAGUAACACGUGGGUGAUCUGCCCUGCACUUCGGGAUAAGCCUGGGAAACUGGGUCUAAUACCGGAUAGGAGCCAUUUUUAGUGUGAUGGUUGGAAAGUUUUUUCGGUGUUGGAUGAGCUCGCGGCCUAUCAGCUUGUUGGUGGGGUAAUGGCCUACCAAGGCGGCGACGGGUAGCCGGCCUGAGAGGGUGGACGGCCACAUUGGGACUGAGAUACGGCCCAGACUCCGACGGGAGGCAGCAGUGGGGAAUAUUGAACAAGGGGCGCAAGCCUGAUGCAGCGACGCCGCGUGGGGGAUGACGGCCUUAGGGUUGUAAACUCCUUUCGCUAGGGACGAAGCUUUUUGUGACGGUACCUAGAUAAGAAGCACCGGCUAACUACGUG
rnacentral:rRNA from 1 species